GGAGGACUAACUCUUACAAGAGAUGUAAUCGCUCUGGAAAAACUGAAACGCAGUCUCCAGAACCCUCCACUUGACUGGAAUGGUGAUCCCUGUAUGCCUCGUCAGUAUUCAUGGUCUGGAAUUACAUGCUCUGAGGGCCGCCGGAUUCGUGUGAUUACAUUGAAUCUAACAAGCAUGGGCCUUUCAGGAUCAGUGUCACCAAGUAUUGCCAGAUUGACUGCGUUGACGGA
rnacentral:misc_RNA from 1 species